UAUAAUUAUGUAUAUUGCAAAUUUAUUUUUUUUUAGUUGAAUCUAAGUAAGAAAAUUUUCGGUCGCGAAAUUAUAUUUUGUUUCGAUCGGUACAUUGUCGCGACUCUGCACUACGCUUGACCAGCGAUGCACGUAACGAGAUACGUUUGCCCAGAGGCCGAUUUCAAAAUAUGGAAUAGAUUCGAAAUUCGGUAGACACGCAAUUUCUCCCGUCAACUUACGAUAAUUUAUGCCCGUGAAAAUUCCCACGAGUAUCUAGGCUCGUUGCCAUCGGACCGAGACGACGACCGAUACGCAUCACCUGCCCGUGAAAAAUCGGCUAUUAAACGGAAAUACGAUUUCUCUCUCUACGAUUCGCGUGAUUCGUUCGUAAACGCUUUCACCGAGUGGAGGAGAAGCGUAGUGGUAACCUUCAAAGGGAGCUCUAUAGUGGUUUUUCAUCGAUACAGCGGGAGAGACUGACACGAGGCGAGGAAUAGAACAGCCGACGGAGCAAAAAUAUUCUAACUAACGAAAAAUAAUCUUCGUAUAUCGAUACGAAAGAAAACGUAAAAAUUCAGUAAUAAAUUAAAUACGAAAUGAAUUUGUCACUCGUUCCAUUAUUGGUCGUCGUUUGAUCUUGCGGAUUUAGUCGUGUCGAGUGGUUGGAUGACGAAACGUUUUUACCGACUCGGAAAGAAAAGCCGGUCGACGCGCAGCACUAUACUGUAGUUGGCCAAAUAACUACCCGCAUGUUGUAUCCGCAGUAUAUAUCGCGCAGUCGGUUUUAACGAAGCUUUGCAGACGCAAAACUUGUCGACAUUCGUCCAAAAGGAUGCCAGCGUUAUAUCGUAAACUCUGUAACUUUGUCGCGAGUACAAUUAUAACGCGCACAAUUACGAGAACAACGUUUGCGAUAUUCGGCUCGUCCGGUAUUCCGAUACGAUCACGUUUCGCUUUAACCAACUGUACCGGUAAAGAGCACUCUGGCGGAAAGUGGGGGAAGGAGCGAUUAGCAAUACGUUGCCAAUGGCGGAAAGAAGUUGAGGUGAAUUCUAGGAAACGGGUAGGUAGAAAUUAGGACGACCCUUCGUCCGCCAUUCAAUUCGUGCUUAACGAUAUUCGUAAUACAAUACGCGACGGUUCUCUCGAUGAAAAAGAAGGAUCGUAGAGGGGGUAAGUAACGAGGUACGAGGGAGGGGGAUUGGUUCCUUCUCGCUCUUUAGCUCUUUCUUUCUCUCUUUCGCGCUCUUCUUUCUCUUCGUUCUCUCUCGUUUAAAACUGUGAAAUCCAUGCCGAAUCUAGACUUCAAUUUUCUAUCUAAUACGUAAUAUUAUACGUAUAUAUAUAUAAAUUAUGAAUUCUACGUCGCGAUUUUUUUUUCUCUAAUCUUCGAAACGAAGAUCAACGAACAAACGAUACUUAGAAUAGGCGAUAAUUUUAUUUCGUAAACGGAGAGAAUCACGUUUGUUUCGCGUCGAUUGGAUUUGUCGGUUACGAAGAUUAAAUCUAAAUGCGACGAUACGUGUGCGACGGUACAUAACGUGUGUCACGCCGCGCGUACCACCUAUGAAACGGAACAAAAUUCCAUUUCCAUUUUGCGACAAAGAUUCGUCCCGGAAUAUCGCGAUCUCGUAAACCGACCACGCGCGCGUACCGCGACAACAUUGCACCCAUAAUUCAAAGAGAUGCCGAACGAUAAACUCCCUUUUUCCGACUCUCAGUCCUUUCCUAUAUGCAUCACGUGUGCACGUGUGACUUUUGCUCGCCAAUGCUCCAUCGAAUAUAAAUUGUCUCGUUUUUUUACUAUUUGUUCCGUCUGUCCGGAAUAUGUAUUAUGAACGAACCAGAAAAAAAAUAAAAAAAUGAAAAAAGCAAAAAAAAAAACGAACCAUGUUUAACUGGCAUUUCUCGUACAUAUAUAUACACUAUUGGAAACAUAAGCUUGUGGAGGUGUAUAAUGCAGAAUGACGCGAAUGCGACGCUGGUCGUCGCGACGCGUUGCGUCACGACCUUUGUAACAGGCGUACGCUAUGCAAAUGGAAUCAAUUUGCGAGUCAGUGGGCGUCGCUGGUUCGUGAAUAGGAUAUAACCGACCGCACGACCACCAUCCUUCGAAUUUGGCCCCGUGCCCCAUGAUUCUCCCGUCCUAUCUCGCGGGCUUCGAGAAACGAUGCUCUGUCACAGCAUAGGAUAUUCUGAAACGGUAUACUGUUUUACCGACCGAGCUUUUCGCUGACCGAUUCUUACCGAUGAGAGACGUUCGGGUUUUUUCGGCAACGUUCGUCGAGACAUCGUAGUUAAAAAUCGACGGGCUAUUCAUUACCCAUUGUCGGUAAUAAUUCUAACCGCAAUAAACAAGCGUAAAUUAAAGAUACAAUCGGAUAUAUUCAUUUUCAUCGUGCGACUUUAUUUUAUCGUUACGACCUUUCAUAAAUUUACGAUUAUUUCUCUGUCUACUACAGAAGGAGGGGAAGAGAGGGAAGGUUGAGAAAUGUCGGAAAAUAAUAACGGGCGGUGCGGUAGGGUGGCGCGAUUUAAUAUCGUAACACGAACUGUGUAACACGUUGUUACUCCCCGCAGAAUCUCGAUUCGGCUUUCGUUCGCGACUACGACGAGGGGGAAGAACCCCUGCUGCUUUCCCGUGGGGUGUUCUCGCCAUCAGUUCGUUCAAAUACAAGCCAGUUCCACUCCAACAGCGGAGGAGAUGCAACCCUCUUCCCUUCGUGCUCUACCCCCCCUCUCCCUCUCCCUCCAUACAUGCCACCGAUAAUCCCAUCUGCUUUUCCUUCCACAGGACGCGUCCCGUCUCCCUCGAUUGAGAUCGAAAAUUCGCGCAUGGAGGAGACUAUCUCCAAACACCUUUACCCGCCCUAGUUGCGAGAGAGAACCCCGACGAAAAACAAUUUCAAUCUGGCCAAGUAGAAAGUUUCACCGAUGCGCGCUUUACCACGAACUCGUUUCGUUCCGUUCCGUUUUCUUCCCUUUUCUUUCGUUAUCUCCUUAUACUUUAUUGUUUCCUACCACAACGAAGAGAGAAAUUGCCGCGAGUACUCGAACUUUCAAACUCGCAGCAAUCCGCUUCCUUUCCCACGGUUUGCAUCUAUUAACGCCUCGCGUCCCGAGGUUUUUUUCCCUUUUUUUUUUAAGCGGCGGCCACUUUUCCUUUAUCUUUGGCGCGAACCAGGAACCAACUCUCGAUUUGGUGGCGGAUACGGUAUUCGCGGAGUGGAGUGAAAGGAGAGUCUUGGCGUCCCGCGUAGGGAAUACGGUAUCGGGAAAUUGGUCGGAAUUGCGAUAUUGUGGCGGAAAUUGCGCGGUGCAUUGGCGCGCGAUCCGUAUACGCCACCGGUAUAUAAAAGUCGGCCAAUUCUAGGUUGUCGCCGAUCGAUCGCGUGAUUAGGAUUUCGAAAUUAAAGGCGUUCUCUGAAAAAAA